ACAAGGUCGAACCGGUGGUUUUCAGGACAGCACUGGUCACUCUACUAAAGACGUGCAUGGCAGGACCAAGGAUGCUGAGGACGAGAAAGGUGUACAGUAGGAUGAACAGCCUUCAGCUUCAACAUCUUCAACACCUCCCCUAACAUUCCUGGCUCCAUCAAACGUGCCGCAUCCUCCUUAGCUUGUCCCUGUUAUAGGUGUGCAGAGUUUAUAGACAGCUACCCAUCCUUUGCACAUUGUGUAUUUUCUGUUGUUCACACACACACUUCAGACAUUAGGAACUGAAAUCUUUUUUGAAAAUAUAAAUGAGUGUCAAACCUCCUUUCUAUGUUGCAGUCCCACCACAUCUCCCUUCUGGUAUUUUUGUUGUUUUUCCCCCUAGUUUUUUUGUUAACACACACUUGUUUCACACAUUGAAAAAUGAAUAAAAUAUCUAAAAUGUA